GGUGGCUCAAUGGUAGAGUGCAUGCCUUGCAUGCAUGUGGCCCUGGGUUUGAUUCCUCAACACCA
rnacentral:tRNA from 1 species